rnacentral:rRNA from 1 species
CUUCCAGACUCCUACGGGAGGCAGCAGUGAGGAAUAUUGGUCAAUGGGCGAGAGCCUGAACCAGCCAAGUCGCGUGAAGGAUGACGGCCCUACGGGUUGUAAACUUCUUUUGUCAGGGAGCAAUUGAGUCCACGUGUGGGCUUAGCGAGAGUACCUGAAGAAAAAGCAUCGGCUAACUCCGUGCCAGCAGCCGCGGUAAUACGGAGGAUGCGAGCGUUAUCCGGAUUUAUUGGGUUUAAAGGGUGCGUAGGCGGGACCUUAAGUCAGCGGUAAAAUUGCGGUGCUCAACGCCGUAGAGCCGUUGAAACUGGGGUUCUUGAGUGAGCGAGAAGUAUGCGGAAUGCGUGGUGUAGCGGUGAAAUGCAUAGAUAUCACGCAGAACCCCGAUUGCGAAGGCAGCAUACCGGCGCUCAACUGACGCUGAGGCACGAAAGUGCGGGUAUCGAACAGGAUUAGAUACCCGGGUAA